ensembl:lncRNA
AUGUGGCUACCUGUGAAGCGCACCAAAGGCAUGGUGGAAGACCAUGGUGUCCUCAAAUGUGCCACAGGGGUCCUGGUUCUGGUGGGAACUGGGUGGAUGCACCAGCAAGAACCUCGUGGCUGGAUCAGCCUCCGCCUGGGAGAAAAGGACAGGAAGGGCCAUGGAGGUGUUGGAGAAAUCUGGCUACUGCUGCGUGCAGCAAACUGUUGCCUGCUUGGAGACGGCCGAGGGGAGAACCUGCACAGACACAGAAGAAGAUGUUCCCUCUCCUUGUGUUUUGUUAAAAAAAGAAAACAGCUGGGGGAUCUUCCCUGCUUAUGCUUGGCUGAGCAUGGCCAUUCCCAGGAGCCUCUGGAGCUGCGUCUCGGAGGACAGACGGCGGUGAUUAAGAAUGAAACCAUUCUGCCAGGGCUGAGAAAGAAAGGUAGAAAAGACGCCCUCCUGGGACCUGCAACUUGUAGUUACCCUGGGAAAAAAGUAGUGCAAGAUUGUUAGUCUGAGGGACAGAUGAAAAUGUGAUUGCUUUAGACUGAGGCUGAGGAGAGAAAGCCACCUCUGUCUGGAAGAACCACGGAGCCUGUUUGCCUCUACCUUGCCCUCUCUGUUUAAAUACCUGAUCCUCAUAAGGAACCACAUUUUGAUUCACUGCAGAUCAUAAAAUGGUUGGGUAUGAUCAAAGCCAGACUUCCAACCAGGCCUCAGCCUUCCUCCACAUUCUCAUGGUCCUGGACUAUGGACUGCUGCUGGACAAAAGUGGGAAGCAGAAUGGAGAUCCAAAAGGGAAAAGAGACAGAGAGGGGGAACUACAAUUCUGCAAAAGAGUGGAGAAGGAAUCCCAAAAGAAUAGGAGCAUUAACUACUUGAUUUGGUCUUUUAGCAUUCAUCUAUCUUUGCUGUCUGAAUCUUUGCUUUCCUUCGAUCUAUCGCCCUUUCUCACCCAUCCACNCACCCUCCUCUUUUUCUUUCAUUUUUGUCCAGGUGCAGAAAAGGUCAAGGGAAAGAGUAAAGCAACCUCUUUAUGAGAAAAGGUUAUAGCUUUUGUGACUUUCUGGCUCAGAAAAAGACAAGCUAGAGAGAAAGGGAUAGGGUAGAGAUGUGUAAAAGUCAUGCACCAUACUGGGGUACAGCCUCUUGCAAUAUCCUAAGCUGAAUGCAGGAAGAUGGCUUGUCCACAGUGACCCAGGCUCUGAUAAAGUCUGGACCAGGUAUUUGCAAAGUGCUGCAUUUGGAGCCACCCUUGGAGAUGGUGCAGAAGCNGCUGCCAAUGUAGAUUGCAGCAGCAAGGCUGCCCACAGAUGCUGCUGUCUGAACGCACAUCAUGCCAGUCUUAAAGGAACUUCACUGAUUGCCAAUCUUCCGGCAUGCUCACUUCAAGGUCUUACCACUGACUUAUAAAGCCGUACACAACUUGUGUCCCCCUACCCGUCAGUUAAGAUCCAUGUGAAAAGGCAUUUUGGGUGUACAUAAAAGGUUACAGCAUAUUUUGAAAAACUGCUUUUCAAAUGCGCCCACAAUGCUAUUUACUGGGGAGGAUAACGGAUAAUAGAUUGACGUUCUUUAACGAUAUUGCAAAGGACGCCUGUAUAUGAUGAAGGAGGGCAAACAGGGAAGAAGAGCUUGCACUAUAGGCAGGAGGUGAUCCUGGGAUCUUAUAUCUACCUGCCAGCUCCUUUCAUUACCAUUGCAAAUACCUGGAACCAGCCAAGCACCCGCCCACUUCCCUAUUGCAUUUCCACCCCACCAAGGAUCAUGGCAAGUAACUUUGCAGACCUUUUAUGCACUCCCAUCAAAUAUUUUUCAACCUAAUUACAAGACCACCAUAAAUGAAAAAAGGUGCCAUUAUAUUUCCAGGCAACAGCACUUAGUUUCUAUCNACACUUCCCUCCUUAUUCUUCUUUUUAAACCAGGUCUCAGGCGCUCCUAAGAAUUACUGCAUUGAAACGGCUCUUUAAAAUGUCAGCAGGUCUCACAGCUUUCAUAUGAAAUUCUGGAUGCGUUACUGAAGAAGGUAAAAGCCAAGAUCCUGUAUUGAAUAAAAUGAUUUUAAAUGUGUUUUUCUGUUGUAUC